UAAAAAAAAGGAGAAGAAGAAAACACAGAGCAGAGAAAAAAACUGGAGGGGCUCUGGCAGGAUGGGGGCUUGGCCAGCCACAACAUCCCUUCCCUCAGCCCUCUUCCAUCUUCUUUCCUCCCCAACCAGGCAUUCAAAGCGGGACGAAUGGGAGCCAAGGGGGGAGUCCGUGGAAAUCAACUCCAUCUGGCUGUACUUGUUACUCUCCUCUUCAGUAGUUGGCCAAGAGGCUUCUGUAUGCUUGUCUCACCGAACCCCUGGACUGUAAGCCCCCGGAGGCCAGGGACUGCAUCUUCUACCCGUCAACACCAACAACUCCAGCACUGUAUUUUGCCCAUAGUGCCUUCAGUUCUCUCCCCUCUGUCUACCAGCCCCGAGCCAGGGGGUGGUGAAACACAGAUGAAUAAAGCCCAGUGGUGACCCCA